CACCUACCCGGAGCCAGAUCUAGAUCGAGACCCCCUCCACCGGCGGCCUCCCGUCCCCCCUUCAUCAACCUCAUCUCCUCUGUCAGAGCAACUUUUCUACUCUUUGAGAUCUCAGCUCCCCCUCCCCCUCCUCCUCCGGCAAUGCCUCCAUGGGCGGCCACCCCCGUGCUGCCGCUGCUAAUCCUCCUCCUGCUGUUGCUGCUCGUGCAGGGGAGAGGAGGCCACGGCGCCAUCACCAUCGCCACCCUGGACAUGGACGUAGACAUGGGGGUGGAGGCGGCGCAGAUGGGCGCGGAACCGGCGGCGCACGGGCGGCUGCUGUGGGCGACUGACGGCGAGCGGAGGUACAUCAGCUAUGAUGCGCUGCGGGGGGAUGCCAUGCUGUGCUCCCGGCCAGGGGUGCCCUACUACAACUGCCGCAUCAGCACCACCGCCAACCCCUACACCGGCGGCUGCGAGUCCAUCACCCGCUGCCGCGACGACGACCCUUCCUAGGUAACUACAGUAGUAACUGAUUGCCAAAGUUGCUGGAUCCAGAAGGCGGCCGCUGCUCGUUUCGUGUGUGUUUUGCUUGCUGGGUGGUCCGACGGUUCAAGCGUCCUGUGGAUGUAUCAGAGAAGGAAAUUGAUGCCGCGGGAGAUGGCGAUGUGUUGGUCAUUUUGGAUCUCAGAGCCGAUCAAUCAUUGAUCGAAGCUGGAGUGGCUCGAGAGGUUGUAAACAGAAUCCAGAAAUUACGGGAGACUGCUCAGCUUGAACCUACAGACUUGAUUGAUGUUUACUACGAGUCUGCAGACAACAGCAACAAUACACUUGAAGAAAUUUUGCAGUCACAGGAUCAGUAUAUUAGGGACGUGCUUGGUAAUUCACUAGUUCCAAAGGCAGUAGCAACAUCAGAUAUGGUAGAAGAUAGCGACAGAGUUUGAAGGUAUGUGCAAAGAUCUUCUCCUCCGUCGCCGUCCGCGACAAAGCUGUUGGGUGCAUCCGUCCAUCAUCUUUAGAUCUGAGUGAAGAGGGCAUCCGUCCAUCUCAAAAGGAUAUGGAUGACCAUCUGAAGGUAUGCAGGUUUCUUCCUAAACUUAACGACGAGAUACUAGCUGAAAGAAAUGCUCUCUACAAGGAAAGGUUGAGCAGCCUAGAGAAUUUAGUACUGAUCAUGAGGUGAUCGACGCAGACUACCGCGACUCGGUGGGCGUCGUGCUCUUCAACAACUCGGAGGCGGACUUUGCUGUGAAGCCCGGCGACCGCGUCACACAGAUGAUUCUCCAUGUGAUUGCGAUGCCGGAGGUCGCCGAGGUGGAGGACCUUGACGUCACCGUCUGGAGGUCGUCGAGGUGGAGGACCUCGACGCCACCAUCUCGAGGUUGCCGAGGCGGAGGACCUCGACGCCACCGUCUUGAGGUUGCCAAGGUGAAGGACCUCAAUGCCAUGGUAGAUACAUCUAGAGAAGUGGUCUUGUUAGGUUGGUGGUGGAACACUAGGGAAGGUACCCACCUUUCGGUGACGGUUGUGUGCGUGUGAUGUAUAAAUGGUAUCUCGUGAUCUCUUUGAGUUGAGAUGUUCAAUAUUGUAUCCAUGAAUGUUGCAAGUGCUAAGAUGGUUCUGUGACCUUCUUUUA